rnacentral:rRNA from 1 species
AUGGAGAUGCAGCCUCUGCUGACCUUGCCACUGGAGGCUGAACGCGGCCACAGUGUCGCGCAGCACCCCUCGUCGCGCGCUGCCCGUCGUCGGUCUCAGGAGAGCCUCACGCCACCAGUCUCGCAUCCGUUGUCGCCAACUACCGUCCACCCGCCGUCUCCGAGGUCCAUGAGCAAUGAAGCCCGGUCGUCUGCGCUUGUGCCGAACAUAUCAAGCCCGGCGCUGCUCGAGCUUUGCUCGCCCCAGAUGCUGUUGCUGCCUGUUCCGUCGCCUUCCAGGCCCUCGGGGUUUGAGGCCUCCCCAACGCCACCCCUGUUGUCUAGUGGGCCGCUGCGCCGCACUCCAUCGCCCGUGCGGCAUCGUAGGGCUGUUGUUGGUGCGGUCGGCCUCCAGUGCCUUGCACCCCUGUUUGAAGAUCGCCACGAAGCCAUCCUGCCCACACCCACUGAUACGUCUCCAACGGCUGGUGUGACCAUCUCCAGGGUUGGCGAUGCUCUUUCGCUGCACAAGACGUGGGCGGCAAGCUACCCCAAGGCCAUGCCGGUGGCUACAACAGCAGAAAUUCUGGUAUGUCGCUCUCUCGGCAUCGUCAAGGAUGGUGAGGACGUAACUGCUGCAGCUCUUGAUGCCUUCGCGGAACGCUUCAAAGAGCACCUGUCGUCGGAGGUAUCUCAGCCAUGA